GGCUAAUAUAGCUCAGGUGGUAAAGUAUGGGACUCUUAAUCCCAGGGUCGUGGGUUCAAACCCCACACUGGGCA